ACCAUUCAUGAGUACAUCAGGUAGUACAAAUGAGAAAAUGAAGUGUAGAGUAUAGUGUUUCCGCUACA